UGCAGUCGAGCGGAACGAUCCUAGCUUGCUAGGAGGCGUCGAGCGGCGGACGGGUGAGUAAUGCAUAGGAAUCUGCCCGGUAGUGGGGGAUAACUUGAGGAAACUCAAGCUAAUACCGCAUACGCCCUACGGGGGAAAGCAGGGGCUCUUCGGACCUUGCGCUAUCGGAUGAGCUUAUGUCGGAUUAGCUGGUUGGUGAGGUAACGGCUCACCAAGGCGACGAUCCGUAGCUGGUCUGAGAGGAUGAUCAGCCACAUCGGGACUGAGACACGGCCCGAACUCCUACGGGAGGCAGCAGUGGGGAAUAUUGGACAAUGGGGGCAACCCUGAUCCAGCCAUGCCGCGUGUGUGAAGAAGGCCCUCGGGUUGUAAAGCACUUUCAGCGAGGAAGAAUGCUUGUCGGUUAAUACCCGGCAAGGGAGACAUCACUCGCAGAAGAAGCACCGGCUAACUCCGUGCCAGCAGCCGCGGUAAUACGGAGGGUGCGAGCGUUAAUCGGAAUUACUGGGCGUAAAGCGUGCGUAGGCGGCUUGAUAAGCCGGUUGUGAAAGCCCCGGGCUCAACCUGGGAACGGCAUCCGGAACUGUUAGGCUAGAGUGCAGGAGAGGAAGGUAGAAUUCCCGGUGUAGCGGUGAAAUGCGUAGAGAUCGGGAGGAAUACCAGUGGCGAAGGCGGCCUUCUGGACUGACACUGACGCUGAGGUACGAAAGCGUGGGUAGCAAACAGGAUUAGAUACCCUGGUAGUCCACGCCGUAAACGAUGUCGACUAGCCGUUGGGGUCCUCGAGACCUUUGUGGCGCAGUUAACGCACUAAGUCGACCGCCUGGGGAGUACGGCCGCAAGGUUAAAACUCAAUGAAUUGACGGGGCCCGCACAGCGGUGGAGCAUGGUGGUUUAAUUCGAUGCACGCGAGACUUACUACCCUUGACAUCGU
rnacentral:rRNA from 1 species